UACAGAGGGUGCGAGCGUUAAUCGGAAUUACUGGGCGUAAAGCGCACGUAGGUGGCGACGUAAGUCGGGUGUGAAAUCCCCGGGCUCAACCCGGGAACCGCGUCCGAUACUGGAAGGCUUGAAUCCGGGAGAGGGAUGCGGAAUUCCAGGUGUAGCGGUGAAAUGCGUAGAUAUCUGGAGGAACACCGGUGGCGAAGGCGGCAUCCUGGACCGGCAUUGACGCUGAGGCGCGAAAGCUAGGGGAGCAAACGGG
rnacentral:rRNA from 1 species